GAUGAACGCUGGCGGCGUGCCUAAUACAUGCAAGUCGAGCGAACAGAUGAGGAGCUUGCUCCUCUGACGUUAGCGGCGGACGGGUGAGUAACCCGUGGAUACCCUACCUAUAAGACUGGGAUAACUUCGGGAAACCGGAGCUAAUACCGGAUAAUAUAUUGAACCGCAUGGUUCAAUAGUGAAAGACGGUUUUGCUGUCACUUAUAGAUGGAUCCGCGCCGCAUUAGCUAGUUGGUAAGGUAACGGCUUACCAAGGCAACGAUGCGUAGCCGACCUGAGAGGGUGAUCGGCCACACUGGAACUGAGACACGGUCCAGACUCCUACGGGAGGCAGCAGUAGGGAAUCUUCCGCAAUGGGCGAAAGCCUGACGGAGCAACGCCGCGUGAGUGAUGAAGGUCUUCGGAUCGUAAAACUCUGUUAUUAGGGAAGAACAAAUGUGUAAGUAACUAUGCACGUCUUGACGGUACCUAAUCAGAAAGCCACGGCUAACUACGUG
rnacentral:rRNA from 1 species